UCUAAUAUGGCAGAGAAGUGCAGUGGAUUUAAGCUCCACAAAUAAAGUACUAAAAACUUUUAUUAGAA